CCUACGGGAGGCUGCAGUGAGGAAUAUUGGUCAAUGGGCUUACGCCUGAACCAGCCAAGUCGCGUGAGGGAAGACUGCCCUAUGGGUUGUAAACCUCUUUUGUCAGGGAGUAAAUGGCGCUACGUGUAGCGUUAUCGAGAGUACCUGAAGAAAAAGCAUCGGCUAACUCCGUGCCAGCAGCCGCGGUAAUACGGAGGAUGCGAGCGUUAUCCGGAUUUAUUGGGUUUAAAGGGUGCGUAGGCGGAAUGCCAAGUCAGCGGUAAAAUCGCGGGGCUCAACCUCGCUCCGCCGUUGAAACUGGCGGUCUUGAGUGUGCGAGAGGUAGGCGGAAUGCGUGGUGUAGCGGUGAAAUGCAUAGAUAUCACGCAGAACUCCGAUUGCGAAGGCAGCAUACCGGCGCCCAACUGACGCUGAAGCACGAAAGCGUGGGUAUCGAACAGGAUUAGAUACCCGAGUAGUC
rnacentral:rRNA from 1 species